rnacentral:lncRNA from 1 species
CCCCCAAACCGAUGGCAGCCCCCUCCCUCUCGCCAACGCCCUUGGCGGCGGCUCCUCCCUCUCACUGAUGCCCCAAGCGACAGCACGGCCCAACUCGCACAGAGGUGCCCCUUGGCAGCGGCACAACGGAGCCCGCAUGGAGGGAUCUUGGUGGCGGCGAGGGCAGCCACGUGCAGAUGGCAGCUUGACAUAUAGACGCAACCGUGCAUAGCCAUACCUGACGGACUCGCUCAGCUCCGUGCCCACAUAAUCCCCGCAUUGUCACACGCUGCCGCCCCACAGGAGCUCUCCACGUUCGCCCGGCUAGCGCAUCGAGGUCGCGUCUUGUCCAUGCGCACGGCUUCAAUAUACAUGUGUCGCAAGAUUCAAUAUGAUGAAAAUUUUUAAUUUUUUUUUUUAAAUUUUGAAUGGAACUAAACAGGACUUGAAAUUUGGCACUUAGAAUAUACUAGUAGACAUCCGAUGCGUGACCCACCAAAUCUACCUUCGAUUUUGGGGGCAACUCUUGCUAAACCACAAGAUUGGUCGCCAGGAAAAUCAUUAACACACACACACACUGAAAAAAAAGGUCCGAAAUUUGCCGGUCGAUUGUACAACUGCACUGGCACGCAAAGCAAAACAUUUCUCCACCGGUGGGCGGGAGAGUGCCUUUUGUUGGAUUUCAGAGCGUGUGUGGGACUGUGGGUUUGUGGCAAUCGGAGUCGGAGCAUGGGCAACGCACUGAUAACCCUGCCAGUGCCACCUUUUCGCCAGCCUUUUCGCCUGAUAGUUUUGAGAUGUCAAUGAUUACGGUUGCCUGUCGGCGGCCACGGCAUGGUCACAAAAACUCCGGAGCGCUUUUUAUUCCUUUUCACCUUGUCGGAAAAGGAAUGGCGGUGAGCAUCUGGCGGUGACUCAUGUCCCAUGUUCAUCCUGGUCUGUUUCAUGUUUCAAAAGGAAAAAUCAUACCGACAUGCAACCGAUGACACCACUCAGGCCUUGUUUAGUUCACAAAAUUUUUUGGCUUUGGCUACUGUAGCACUUUCGUUUGUAUUUGAUAAUUAGUGUCCAAUUACGGACUAACUGGCUCAAAAGAUUCGUCUCGCAAAUUACAGCUAAACUGUACAAUUAGUUUUUGUUUUCGUCGAUAUUUAAUGCUUCAUGCAUGCGUCCAAAGAUUCGAUGUGAUGG